CCCUGUUGAGCUUGACUCUAGUCUGGCUUUGUGAACUGACUUGAGAGGCGUAGAAUAAGUGGGAGAGCAAUCGCAAGUGAAAUACCACUACUCUUGACGUCAGUUUACUUAUCACGUUAAAUAGAACUUUGCAACGGUUUUACCGAAGCAUGAAACUUCUGGAUUUAAGUGAGUCCGAUUACGGUGCUCAUGAUCUAUGCGCGAGACAGUGUCAGAUGGGGAGUUUGGCUGGGGCGGCACAUCUGUUAAAAGAUAACACAGGUGUCCUAAGAGGAGCUCAAUGAGAACAGAAAUCUCAUGUAGAACAAAAGGGUAAAAGCUCCUUUGAUUUUGAUUUUCAGUAUGAAUACAAACUGUGAAAGCAUGGCCUAUCGAUCCUUUAGUCUUUAGAAACUUUAAGCUAGAGGUGUCAGAAAAGUUACCACAGGGAUAACUGGCUUGUGGCAGCCAAGCGUUCAUAGCGACGUUGCUUUUUGAUCCUUCGAUGUCGGCUCUU
rnacentral:rRNA from 1 species